AUUCAUGUGGAGGGAUGUGCACUCGAGGAAUAGAGCAGGACUGAAAAGAAUCCAAAAGCAACAACUUUAAUGAGUGCCGUUUUAAAGAAAUGUACGAUCUUUAUUUUUUUAACUAUUGUUUCAAGAAAAAAUAUACCGUAUGAAGAAUUUGGUACUUUUCCCGAUGACUGAAGAUAGCAUCCCCUCAGACAGGAGGUCAAGGGUGGGAUCAUCAUCACCAUAUGAGAUGCCUGCCCAAAGAGGUGUUUUGGGCAAGUUCAACAAAUGUCUCGGUAUCCUCCUGGAAGAGCUGGUGGAGGUGGCUGGGAACAGCUGCUUUGCUUAGGCUGCUGUCUGCACAACGUGAACCCUGGGUACCUGACUUCCUGUUUCUUGGCCCUUCAUCAUCAGAGUUCUCCCUCUCUUCAUCAGAAUAGUGACGUUUCUCCUCCUCGUCCUCUGAUUGGUCGCUCUUAGCCCCUCCUUCCCACUUCUCAUCAUCUGAUUGGUUCUCCCUGCCAGAGGCUUCCCCGUCAGUUUGAGGCGUGACUUGUCCCGACUGUGGCGUCCCUGGAUCGCUGCGUAAACUGGAUCGAAACACAUCUAAUAAAACAU